rnacentral:rRNA from 1 species
CGGCGUGCGUAACACAUGCAAGUCGAUCGAGAAAUUCCGGGCUUGCUCGGGAGAGUAAAGUGGCGAACGGGUGAGUAACGCGUGGGUAACCUGCCCCUGAAUCUGGAAUAACUUCGCGAAAGCGAGGCUAAUUCCGGAUAUUGUCCCAGGGACUGUGGUCCUUGUGAUGAAAGAUGACCUCUUCACGAAAGUUGUCGUUCAGGGAGGGGCCCGCGUACCAUUAGCUAGUUGGUAGGGUAAUGGCCUACCAAGGCGAUGAUGGUUAGCUGGUCUGAGAGGAUGACCAGCCACACUGGCACUGAAACACGGGCCAGACUCCUACGGGAGGCAGCAGUGAGGAAUUUUGCGCAAUAGGGGAAACCCUGACGCAGCAA